GGGGGGGGGGGGGGGGGGGGGGUUAAUUUUGCUUCAUCUGCUUUGAUCAUCAUGUGUUAGGGCUUAAAGUCUUUAUUCCUAUACCUUCGCGAUUUGAUUCUGUUUUGUGUCAGAAUUCCUACAUUGUAUUGUCAAUAGAAAUCUGUGAAUUGAAACACGUGGAUGAAUACUUAUAAAUUAUUAUCCUCUUUUGAUAUGGAC
rnacentral:lncRNA from 1 species